rnacentral:lncRNA from 1 species
GCUGACUCCAAGUGGAGCAAAGCCCAGGUCUUGACAUAGAUACAGAUAACAUACACGCCCAGAUGAUGUCACAAUCAGCUGUAUCUAAACAGAGCAGAGCUCAGGUGACAUCACAGAACAGGCAGAGGCAGUUCAGGGGUAUUCUGGUUGCCUUACCCAGCUCUGAAGUCUGUCAGCCUCUUCAGAUGUCACUUGCCAUGUGGUAAGGAAGUGUAGUCAGCAGCUGGUGCAGUGGGAAGAAGAGAAAGGAAGUUCCCCAAGACAAAAACAUCUCGGCAGACCGUGAUCAUGGGCUACAUUCUCCGUACCAGCUUCAUAGCUCCAGUGAGAAAAUAAAUUCCUGCAUCCAGGAGAUGUGGAGUAAGAGAUACAGCUGCCCUUGACCAUAUUUCUUACUUCCGAGAAGAUCGUAGCAGUAAUUCAGAAUCUCAUCCAGGAUACCUCAUCACAGGCUGGAGUGCAGUGUCAUGAGCUUGGCUCACUACAGCCUCCAUCUUCUGUGCUUAAGGAUCCUUCCCUCUCAACCUCCAAGGUAGCUGAGACUACAGGCAACAUUCGAAACCCAGGUGCCACUCCUUCAGGAAGGUACCAUCAAGCUCCAAGGACUCAUCCUCUUUCUCCUUCCCCACUACCUAGUCAUUAGAGCGUCAGCAUCCACUUCCUGAAAGGAAGAUGCCUGUUUUUCACAUAUCCCAGAAAGCCUCAUUUUAGGACAGCAUUUAGCAGAGUGUAUUCAGGAUCCCACUAACCUUUUCGGAAGACAUGACUUCCAGAUGAUAUAAGGCAAGAAUAAGAAAUUUCAGUGACAGGGAACAGAAAUCAUAUUUCUGCAUUCAGGAUCAUGUUUUCUUGGCUCCAUCAGGAACUGUGCAGGACUGUGCACUCUGUUGAUACUCACAUGGUGGAAUUAUAUUGCCCUUGGCCAACCCUAAAGCCAUCAAGAUAGCAGGUUUGGAAUAAUUCACUGUCGAAGUCUUCUUGAGCUGAGCAGUCAUGUGAGCUUGGAAGAUGAUCCCUCUCCAGCUGAUCCUUCAGCUCAGGCCAUCAUCUACAUCUGGAUUCCUGACCCGGAGAAACUAUGAGUAAUGUGUGCUGCUUUUGAGCCACUAAGCUACAUGAAUUAAUGAAGGAUCAUUAUUAAGUUUUUAAUGGGUCAAGAGAAAGUUACCACUGAGGUCUUCUCUACCUGGGCAACAAUUGACUCCUAACAACCACUAUAAGCUUGGAAGAUGAUCCCUCCCCAGCUGAUCCUUCAGGUCUCUACUUUUUGUAGCCUGGGGAUUUUCUACUCCCCCAACAGCCAGAUGAGGCAGAAACCCCUACAGACAUCCCUAUGUGCCUCCUGUGCAAGUGCAGUUGCCCCUUGAAGGCAGUUCUCCUGCUGCAGACCACGCCCACCAAGGGCAGAGUCACAGCCACUGCAGCUGAGCUCAGAGCCUUCUGUGGGGUCUGCAGGGGCAAGGCCAGCUGUCCCCUGGGAUAGUUUGAAGAAUGCAGUUUGUUUGUAUAAUAAAGAUGUUUCUCUACGUCAUUCAUCUUGCUAAUCAAGGACGUUUAACAGCUUCAGACUUUCCUGGUAAUAUUUGUUCUUGCCUUUUUUUGGCAAAUAUAGUUAACACUUCUAUGCAUUUUUUACCUCACAUAAACAUCAUCUAAAACCAUUCAUAUUUCUGUAUUGCGUAUUAAUGCUUUUCAUUCCUGUAUAUAAAAAUGCAUUCAUAAUCGCUUUUCAAAAUACAUUUUCAGUUACCUUUUCAAGCAUCAUUCUUUACUAAUUGAAUGGAAAUAUCACUUUUAUUGAGAAAGACAGAUGUUACACAAUUUUCAUUUUAGUAUUUUCUAGAAAUUUGCUGUGAAAUACCUCAGGUUGAAAAGGAGAGGGACACAGGCUUUUGUGAGGACCAUAAGACAAAAUUUACUGAGAGUCACAUGCUUAAAAUAAUCUUUCAUUGUUUGCACUAUAUGGCUUAGUUUGUUCUAAUUGUGAAAGGUCACAGGCAUUAAUUUGUGUGGAGGCAACACCAAAAAUCCCAUUGUGAAUGCAGAGAAUCACUUUGUUACUGUGCAAGUAAGAAUGUCCUCAUAUUGUUUGUUUUUAUUCUUACCAAAAAGCUGUAGACAUUGUCUGGAAUCUUUGAUUCCUUCCAACUUGUUUUUGUAAAUGUCUGCAUGAUGUGUUUUUGUCCAGACAACCAAUAUAUAGACAUGUAUUUUUUUUUUACUCUUUGAUGAGUGAUUAUUAAAUUGUUUUUAGUUUUCAUUGAAAUAAAAAUGCCAUUCAGGAAAUGUCAUACAUCUCCAGGCAGCAUAUAUUUUUAUAACAUGGCCUUGGAGAAAAAGAAUUAAAAACUUUAUUUUCUGUUAUCAGUGAACUAGCAAAAUAUUUUUAAAAGUUAUCACAGGUGUGAGUUUUUUUUAGAUUUUAUGUUUUUUUGACUCAGUUAAUAAUAUACCUACCUCAGUUAUCUAGCUGCUGUGUCAAUAUCCACUGUUUUAGGCUAAACCUUUUAUACUCCUCUGGCAUAGUUUGCAUGUGAACAGAUGGUUCAGUGUCCUAACUAGUGAAGGUGAGAUUCCUAAAGCACAUUUGAACAGGAAUUUAGGACUCAAGAAGCAAUUCUGAGUUCUGAGUAUAUUAAAGGUAGGCUAGAUUAAGUUAUUAUGUUUGGUAAGUUAUGUGUAUUACAUGUAUUUUCCAAUUAAAUUAUUUUCAACUUACGAUGGGUUUAUCAGGAAGUACACCCAUCAUAAAUUGAGGAUCAUCUGUAAUUUAAAUGGAGGUUUCUAUUUAAAAGAGCAUAAUGCAUUUCUCAUCAAAAGAAGGAAAACCAGUAAUUUUUAGGUCCUUUAUUUGUGUCCCUGAAAAUCUUCAUAAAUUCUAUAAAAAGAGUGAAAACAGGUGAAUCAAAACACAGAUUCCAUUCUGUCGUAUAAAACAGAACAUCACAAAUCAUUUUCAUAGAUAGCUUUUUUCUAGUUUUUAGAGCUGGAUAUACGUUUUUGUUUUUUGUUUUACAUGAUUCAACGGCCUCAGUAAUGUCACUUCAUAGAUUCUACGAAAGAGUGUUUGGAACCUGCUGAAUCAAAACACAGGUUCCAUUCUGUGAUAAUAAAAAUGUACAUCACAAAGCGUUUUCACAGACAGGAUGUUUCUAGUUUUUUAUAGUUGGAUAUUCGUUUCUUUUAAAUUUGGGGAUGACCUUGCCCUGCUGUCUUUCACUACAUACAUACCACAGCUAUAUAGUUUGCAUGGAGUACUGG